rnacentral:rRNA from 1 species
GAUCCUGGCUCAGAUUAAACGCUGGCGGCAUGCCUUACACAUGCAAGUCGAACGGCAGCACGGGGGCUAACCCUGGUGGCGAGUGGCGAACGGGUGAGUAAAGCAUCGGAACGUGCCCUGGAGUGGGGGAUAACGUAGCGAAAGUUACCGCUAAUACCGCAUAUUCUGUGAGCAGGAAAGCAGGGGAUCGCAAGACCUUGCGCUUUGGGAGCGGCCGAUGUCGGAUUAGCUAGUUGGUGGGGUAAAGGCCUACCAAGGCGACGAUCCGUAGCGGGUCUGAGAGGAUGAUCCGCCACACUGGGACUGAGACACGGCCCAGACUCCUACGGGAGGCAGCAGUGGGGAAUUUUGGACAAUGGGCGCAAGCCUGAUCCAGCCAUGCCGCGUGAGUGAAGAAGGCCUUCGGGUUGUAAAGCUCUUUCGGUGGGGAAGAAAUUGCACGGGUUAAUAGCCUGUGUAGAUGACGGUACCUGGAGAAGAAGCACCGGCUAACUACGUG